rnacentral:rRNA from 1 species
UACGUAGGGGGGCAAGCGUUGUCCGGAAUCAUUGGGCGUAAAGAGCGUGUAGGCGGCUCGGUAAGUCCGCUGUGAAAGUCCAGGGCUCAACCCUGGAAAGCCGGUGGAAACUGUCGAGCUCGAGUCCGGAAGAGGCGAGUGGAAUUCCUGGUGUAGCGGUGAAAUGCGCAGAUAUCAGGAGGAAUACCGGUGGCGAAGGCGGCAUCCUGGACCGACAUUGACGCUGAACGGCGAAAGCUAGGGGAGCAAACGGG